AAUGGAGCCCAGCGAAAGGAAGCAGAAGGAAAAACACAAAACCAAAAACAUCAGAAACAUUGAGGCUAGAAUACCGCGAUUUUUAACUCUCAAGGAGUGGCUUCUCUGUCCUUUUUCCUGGGCAUGGGGACAAAAUUGUUCUGUUUUCUGAGGACAGCUGGCCUCACCUGAGUCCUGGCUGUAGACUUGAGUUCGCUGCAGCAGGCAGGACAGGGCUUCCUGCAAGCUUGCAUCAAUGAUAAGGCCCAAGGUAUAGGAGAUUCUGAUAGCAGUGACCGGAAUGUCUGAGAUGUUUAAAGAUUUGGUUUGAAGAAACUUGAAUACAUCAUCGCUGAGAUCUUCUGAGGUCAGCUUCUGAAGGACUCUCCUUGCAUAUGGCCCUGCAACUCCCAGGACCCCAAACUCAUCGGUUAUGUUUUGAAUUUCCACAUCAUAUCCACCUCUGAAGGCUGCUUCUUCAAUCCAUCUGCAUUGGGGUCGUAAGCGUGGUUAAACGCUUGAAUAAUGCAUGUUUCUACUAUACUACGUCUCUGAAGU
rnacentral:lncRNA from 1 species